rnacentral:lncRNA from 1 species
CUCUUUUAUUUGGUUUAGGGUUUUGGUUAGGGUUAUUUGCUAGCUGUUUUAUUUGGUUUAUUCACUGAGAAGCAAUUGUAGGUUAAAUUUGUGUCCAGUUUCAAACAGUUUUUUUUCAAAAAAAGGAUAUGUGUAUUCACAGGCACUCGUCUUAUACCUUUAUAUGAUAAAUUCUGAGACCAGUGCCUGAUCAGUGGCUGUGUGCAUGGUGUGUGUAUUCAUUAAUUAACCGUAAAAUGAAUAAACCAGAUGCUUCGCAGGGCGUAGCUUUAUACGACCGCAGAGGUUGAACCCUGAACGGUUGGGGCAAGUUUGGACACAACAUUCAAGCUGGAUUCAGCUCUAAAUUUGGAUUGUGAUUAAAUAGUUGACACAGCAUAGGUUUCUGACACAGAAUGAAUGUGUUCUAAUGAACUUAAAAUUUGUGUUUUCUCUUAGAGCAAUUCACUAUGCUGUUCAAUAUUAAUCCUCUCAAAAAAAUGUUUGAAGAAAUUUUCUUUUUAUUUAUGAAAUUUCAAAUGAGAAAAAUUGAACCCAAUUUUUUAAUCACAUCCCCCUUUCCCUUAUUCCAAAACUAAUCUCAAUUAAAAUAUUCUAAUGGAGUUUGCAACAAUAACUACUCAUUUAAAUACAUCAUAAAAUAUUGAGAUGUAAAAAACUGCUUGUUAUCACUGAAUGGUAA